rnacentral:rRNA from 1 species
UUCGCCCUUAGAGUUUGAUCCUGGCUCAGGACGAACGCUGGCGGCGUGCUUAACACAUGCAAGUCGAACGAGCGAGAGAGAGCUUGCUUUCUCAAGCGAGUGGCGAACGGGUGAGUAACGCGUGAGGAACCUGCCUCAAAGAGGGGGACAACAGUUGGAAACGACUGCUAAUACCGCAUAAGCCCACGACCCGGCAUCGGGUAGAGGGAAAAGGAGCAAUCCGCUUUGAGAUGGCCUCGCGUCCGAUUAGCUAGUUGGUGAGGUAAUGGCCCACCAAGGCGACGAUCGGUAGCCGGACUGAGAGGUUGAACGGCCACAUUGGGACUGAGACACGGCCCAGACUCCUACGGGAGGCAGCAGUGGGGAAUAUUGCACAAUGGGGGAAACCCUGAUGCAGCGACGCCGCGUGGAGGAAGAAGGUCUUCGGAUUGUAAACUCCUGUUGUUGAGGAAGAUAAUGACGGUACUCAACAAGGAAGUGACGGCUAACUACGUGCCAGCAGCCGCGGUAAAACGUAGGUCACAAGCGUUGUCCGGAAUUACUGGGUGUAAAGGGUGCGCAGGCGGGAAGACAAGUUGGAAGUGAAAUCCAUGGGCUCAACCCAUGAACUGCUUUCAAAACUGUUUUUCUUGAGUAGUGCAGAGGUAGGCGGAAUUCCCGGUGUAGCGGUGGAAUGCGUAGAUAUCGGGAGGAACACCAGUGGCGAAGGCGGCCUACUGGGCACCAACUGACGCUGAGGCUCGAAAGUGUGGGUAGCAAACAGGAUUAGAUACCCUGGUAGUCCACACUGUAAACGAUGAUUACUAGGUGUUGGAGGAUUGACCCCUUCAGUGCCGCAGUUAACGCAAUAAGUAAUCCACCUGGGGAGUACGACCGCAAGGUUGAAACUCAAAGGAAUUGACGGGGGCCCGCACAAGCAGUGGAGUAUGUGGUUUAAUUCGAAGCAACGCGAAGAACCUUACCAGGUCUUGACAUCGUAUGCAUAGCUCAGAGAUGAGUGAAAUCUCUUCGGAGACAUAUAGACAGGUGGUGCAUGGUUGUCGUCAGCUCGUGUCGUGAGAUGUUGGGUUAAGUCCCGCAACGAGCGCAACCCUUACUGUUAGUUGCUACGCAAGAGCACUCUAGCAGGACUGCCGUUGACAAAACGGAGGAAGGUGGGGAUGACGUCAAAUCAUCAUGCCCCUUAUGACCUGGGCCUCACACGUACUACAAUGGCUGUUAACAGAGGGAUGCAAAGCCGCGAGGUGGAGCGAACCCCUAAAAGCAGUCUUAGUUCGGAUUGUAGGCUGCAACCCGCCUACAUGAAGUCGGAAUUGCUAGUAAUCGCAGAUCAGCAUGCUGCGGUGAAUACGUUCCCGGGCCUUGUACACACCGCCCGUCA